rnacentral:lncRNA from 1 species
GCCGCUCCUACGUUCACUCUCCAAGCUUCUCUAAAAAAUUCUACUAUAAUCAUCUGACUAUAGUGUAUUUAUUUUAUUGAGCUCACAAACAAACCUAAUUAAUUUUUUUGAAAUCAUCAAUCACAACCCUACACUGUUAGUUUUUCGGGCUUACUAACAACCCAAUUGAUUUUAACCUAAGUCAACCAAUUAAAACCUUUACAAUAUCUAAUUACAGACUUGGACUGGCCUAAUCCUCAAGUUUUUUUCCUCCAAAGAAACUUAUAAAGAAAUUACAAAACAAUAUAUGAAAAUUUAGAUACAAAACAGGAAAACAAAAAAACCUCUUUUGAGGCGUGAGGAAGAGGCUGCAUGCUUGGCUGUUUUGAAGUUUGAACACUCUUCCUUAAAGGCUGAGAGGAUGAAGAAAAAUUUUUGAAGAUCUCUCUUGAAUGCUCUCUGAAUUUGAAGCCCACACUCCUCUCUUUUCUCUUCUUUUUUUGGAUUUACAAAGAAGCCCACACUUUUAAUAAUUUUUCUUUGAUAAUCUAUUUUUUUACAUUUUUUUUUUUGAUUCUCCAUCUUUUAAUAGGCUUGAUAAUGGUUGA